AUUGAACGCUGGCGGCAUGCUUUACACAUGCAAGUCGAACGGUAACAGGGAGCUUGCUCCGCUGACGAGUGGCGAACGGGUGAGUAAUGCAUCGGAACGUACCGUGUAAUGGGGGGUAACGUAGCGAAAGUUACGCUAAUACCGCAUACGCCCUGAGGGGGGAAAGUGGGGGACCGCAAGGCCUCACGUUAUACGAGCGGCCGAUGUCGGAUUAGCUAGUUGGUGGGGUAAAGGCCUACCAAGGCGACGAUCCGUAGCGGGUCUGAGAGGAUGAUCCGCCCACACUGGGACUGAGACACGGCCCAGACUCCUACGGGAGGCAGCAGUGGGGAAUUUUUGGACAAUGGGGGCAACCCUGAUCCAGCCAUGCCGCGUGAGUGAAGAAGGCCUGGUUGUAAGACUCUUUACUAGGUGGUAAAGAAAGUACUACCCGGGUC
rnacentral:rRNA from 1 species